GGAUAGCUAGCUACGUACUGAGCUCGAGCUUAAUUAGCUCUAGCUAGCUGCAGCAAUGGCCAUGGGGGCUCGCCUCUGCAGCAGCAGCAUUAUUGUUGUGGUGGUCGUCCUGAUUGUGGCGACGGCGGCGGAGGCGAUGCGGUGUCCGGGGACGACGAGCGUGUACCGGCGGCCGAAGAAGAAGGCGGCGGACAUGGUGGACAUGCCACUGGACGCCGACGUGUUCGCGGAGCCGGCGGGGAGGAACGCGCCGCAGCAGGUGCACAUAACGCUGGGCGACCAGACGGGGACGGCCAUGACGGUGUCGUGGGUGACCAUGGAGGAGGCCGGCAACAGCACCGUCUUGUACGGCCUCGCCAUGGACAAGCUCGACAUGGCCGCCGACGCCACCGUCACCACCUACACGUACUACAAUUACACCUCCGGCUUCAUCCACCACUGCACCCCACUACUAGGAAAAUGAUUUUAUGGCGUAAAGUACUAUUACGCCAUGGGUUUCGGGUUCACGGUGCGCAGCUUCUGGUUCACGACGCCGCCUCGGCCGGGUCCCGACGUGGCCUUCCGGCUGGGGCUCAUCGGCGACAUCGGGCAGACCUUCGACUCCAACGCCACCCUCACCCACUACGAGGCCUCCGGCGGCGACGCCGUCCUCUUCAUGGGCGACCUCUCCUACGCCGACAAGUACCCGCUCCACGACAACAACCGGUGGGACACGUGGGGCCGCUUCUCGGAGCGCAGCGUGGCGUACCAGCCAUGGAUCUGGGUGGCUGGCAACCACGAGAUCGACUACGCCCCGGAGCUGGGGGAGACGAAGCCGUUCAAGCCCUUCACCCACCGCUACCCGACGCCGCACCUCGCCAGCGCGUCGCCGGAGCCGUACUGGUACUCGGUGAAGCUGGCGUCGGUGCACAUCAUCGUGCUCUCCUCCUACUCCGCGUUCGCCAAGUACACGCCGCAGUGGAAGUGGCUGGAGGCGGAGCUGGGGCGGGUUAACCGGAGCGAGACGCCGUGGCUGAUCAUGGCGUCGCACUCGCCGUGGUACAACAGCAACAACUUCCACUACAUGGAGGGGGAGUCGAUGCGUGCCCAGUUGGAGAAGAUGGCGGUGGACGCCAGGGUGGACCUCGUCUUCGCCGGCCAUGUCCACGCCUACGAGCGCAGCUUCCGCGUCUCCAACAUCAGGUACAACAUCACCGACGGGCUGUGCACGCCGGUGCGCGACCGCCGGGCGCCCGUCUACGUGACCAUCGGCGACGGCGGCAACAUCGAGGGGCUCGCCGACGAGAUGACGUGGCCGCAGCCGCCCUACUCGGCGUUCCGGGAGGACAGCUUCGGCCACGCGGUGCUGGACAUCAAGAACCGGACGCACGCCUACUACGCCUGGUACCGCAACGACGACGGCGCCAAGGUCGCCGCCGACGCCGUCUGGUUCACCAACCGCUUCCACAUGCCCAACCACGACGACUCCACCCCCACCCCCACCAAGCGCCAUUAUUAUGGAUGAUUCAUUCAUUCGCAUCCAUCCAUCGCUUCCUCUUCAUCGUCGUCCAUGCCUGCCUACCUAGUGUGAUUUUGUACACGUACGUACGUGUGAUUUUAUAAUAACUAUAUAUAUAAUCGUGCCAAUCAAUACCAUUAGGUGUGUAAGUAGUAACAGUUUACUGUAAUCUCUUCCUGCUGCUGCUGUUUUCUGAAUAAAGAGGAGGCAGGAUAUAUCUAUCGAUGGAGGAGCACAGAGCACUGCCUGCUGCUUCCUCUGAAAAUAUAUCUGAAUAUAUAUAUACACAUCUGCAGUUUGCAGGCCAAUUAUAUA